CGCCCGGUAGCUCAGUGGUUAGAGCGCUGGCUUCGCAAGCCAAAGGACCGGAGUUCGAUUCGCCGGCCGGGUGG
rnacentral:tRNA from 1 species